GCGGGGCGCGAGCACGACAGCCGAUUGGCGCUGACGUGAGGCGCGCGGUGAUGACGCCGCGGGCGCCAUGUUGGGCGUUUCCUGUCGCGCCGCGCGCUGGGCAGCGACCGUUAGAUUGCCGGCUCUCCGGUCGCCGAGAAAGGCUGCUCGGGAGGUGGUCCUAGCUGAGCUCGGAAGAGACCGCUUGGAAUCGAGAAAAUGCCGCCUCUGGACACGGAAGAGCUGGGAAGCCUGGAGAGCUACGGGGCGGGGCAGCUCGCCGACCUGUGCCCGGUCAUAAAGAGGCUGAUGCGAGAGCGCCUGAGGAGCAUCAGGGUCUUGAGAGCGAGAGCGGAGGCGGGCGCGCUCGUCCGGUCACAGAAUCGAGCUGCCGACGCGAAUACGACCCCGGAGAACCGGGACGCCGGGAAAAAGGAGAAAUAAAUGGAAGAGGAGAGGAGGCCCAUCUCCAGCAUCGUGCCCGGGAGAUAACCGUCGACGCUUAACAGAAAUACUUGAAAACAGCGCAGCCGAAAAAACAAAAAAAGAAAAAAAAAAAAAAAAGAAAAAAGCUAAAGAACCAGUUGAAGGCAGUUUUCCAGAUUUGAAGGCCGGUCCGAAUCUGCAAACACCAAAAGUGGGUAGAACACCAGUAAAACUUGACAGAAAGCAACACGUAGACACACCCUGGUAGCGACGUUUGUAAAACUGGAAGGAGAAGAAAGAAAAUGUUAGAUAAUUCGGAGAAAGGUUAUCUAAAAAGAAAGGAAAAAAAAAAAAAAAGGCAGGUUAUCUAUAAAAGGGUGGAAGUCAGACCCACCCACCCCCACCGCCCCCGCCCCCGCCGGUUUUUCCCUCGCAGCUCCAGACCCACAAAGGUAGUGAGUGGUGCAAGGUCUACUGUUUUAAGGAGGAACGGUCUUGAGUGAAGAGCUGUGUAUCCUGCGAGCGAAGUCGUGGUUUCUACACGGAGGCAAGUGGGAGGCGUUUCCAGAUGCAGGGGUGGGAGAAAGGUGUAUCACCCACACGCCGGCCUUAAAAUCCCCGCCAGGUUCUGUUCCCGCCGCCCGCGGAAGCGACUCCAGAGUGGGGAGGCAUUAAAGCUUGUUGAGUUCCGUUAAGGUUAAGUUAUUAAGUUGUUAACAUACAGGGUCGUGCAGAGAUGGCGGAGUCGGGUCUGAAGUUUCAGUUUAUCUCCUUUGAAACGGAAACGCUGUGCUACAAUGUUCAAUUUAGGGAGCAAAUGUUACUGUUCGUAGUGUGUAACGUAGACAUAGACGAGCAUUGCCGUUCAGCUAAGCAGAAGUAAAAGAAAAGGGCUUUGUCACUGUGGCCAGGACAGAGAGAGUAAAGGCAUUCCGAGUGUUAGUUCGGUAAAAUGGGAAAUUGGACACAGUUUCGGGUCCUCUUAUGUUUGAUUAUAGAGGAGGAAUAAGUAAAAAGUUUGUUUAUAGUGUUAAUACCGACAGUGUAAAAAGAAAAUGUCCAAAUCUCUGGCUGGGGAGACGGUAGCUGUGAACCUUGGCUUCUGUACAUCUUGCCUCGGGAAAAUCGGCAGUUGCUGCUUCCUUCUGAGUAAAUUUGGCGUUAGAUAAGUGUUAACAGAUAAAAUAUAGCGGUUUUAUGGAUUGGAGCGGAAGUGAUGAAAAAAAAAACAGCCAGGAAACCUUAAAAGUAACAUAGAUUGACAGAGGUACAGGUGAAUCAUCACAGUCUUAAACAGG